rnacentral:rRNA from 1 species
GCCAGCAGCUAUAUCACCCUGCAACCCACUGAAGCUAAGCAGGUGUGAACCUGGUCAGUACUUGGAUGGAGACCUCCUUGGAAAGAUAAGGUUACUGCCGGAA